GUAAGUAAUGCAAAUAGUGGAGAAAAUGUUGGGGUGGGCUGCCAUCUUAUGAGGUAUUGGGGUUCAGAGAUGUAAGAAUAAAGACCAUAGAAUAGCGAAACCUCUUUCAGAGUUCCUGGAAUGGGGCCAUGUGUGUGCAUGAAGAUUUUCUGCAGGUUAGGUUAAAAAGAAAAAGAAAAAUAGAGGAGAAUGAAGGUCUGAGCUUUGAGAGCUCCAGCAGAGAAAAGCUGUCAGAAAGGAAUGAACAGCAGCACCUCGGGUGGCAGCAGGGCUUCAGGGAGAAGACAACAGCGAGUCAGGAAAUAUACCCAGGAAAAAAAGUCAUUAAAGAACAAAGUGCCGUAAGGAGAGCCAGAUUCCUGGGGAACUACGGCAAUGUGGAGACAAAGCAUUUAUAAGCAAAACUGAAAUGGAGUUCAUCUGCAGCCGGACUGAAAGUGAUGCAGUGAAUGAACCGACAAUAUCCACCUGCUCCAGAUGUGGAGAGGCAGUGGAUGACCAAUGCUGGGCUGCCCAGUUGCCUUCUGAGGUAGCUGGCACAACCGGGAUGGCUCAUACCCAGACUGCGUCCUGUCAACAGAAAGGCAAAUGGGGAACAAAUAGAUUCAUGUGAGUCUGCAGUGUCUGAAUAGGAGUCAAAGCAGUUCCCAGUUAGCCUUGUUGCUAUAUUGAGAAGUGGUUUAUUUACUUUUUCAGAGUUUUUGCCCAUUGGUUGCCGAUAAGCUGUGUUUGAAAUGCUGCUCUUACUACGCACCUCCCCAACCACUUGCAGUGCCUCAGGAUUCCUGUCUUAAUAUUGCUGAAGCUUCUCAAGGUGAAUAUUUUUGCUUUUCCCUUCCCCUAAGGCUGAGAUUU
rnacentral:lncRNA from 1 species